AUGAAAAAUGCUAUAAGCUACAAUACUUCUCAUAUUAAUAUAAUGAAAAAAUUUAUCAAAAUAUUGAUCAAAAUUCUUGUUUGACUCUCAAGAAUAAAUGUUAUAAUUAAAAGCAAGUGAAAGGGGUAUUUACAAACUGAAAAACCAUUUACUUUUAUUUUAUUUUCAAUCCAAUGUGAACUCCAAUUAAUUCAAUCGUGCAUUGCCUUAUCUAUUGAAGAUAGCCAAUUUAUUCACUUUUGCUGAUUCCAGUCUUGCAAAUUGCUCGAUCAAGUACCUUAGCAUCUCCAACUAGCCUUUGAAGUGUUGCAAGUCUGCAUUUGCUCGAGCACAUGGCUGACAGACAUCCGGUUGAUCAACAUCAUAAUACUGAACCACAGAUGAAUUCUCCUGCUUCAAGGGAUGACAUGGCUGCCUAUGUGAUUGCAUUAGAAACUGCCCUACUCCUCUGUUUGCCGGCACGAGAACUCCAGGCAAGAGCUUAUCCAUAUCAUCAGAGUGAGUAGUUUCAGGCUUAUAGCUGUAUGCAUGCAGUUAGAAGCUGAGUUACAGGUUCACGUGAACCCAAUAGCUUUUGUCCGGACCUUACACUUACACCAAGAAAUCUAGUAAGUAUCUGCGAAGUAUUUGACUGAGAAUCCAAUUAUUAUUUUAGUAUUAACUUGAUGUUGUAGGAACUCAUAAAUUUUAAAUCUUGGGUCCGCCUUUGGUGCAACUCUCACCAAUUUGCUUGAAUUUUUUGAGUCAUUGAGGUUUUGCUGCAUUGUUAAUUUGUAAUCAGUAAAGUUCCAUUAUAGAAAUAUGAAUCGAACUAGACUGUUUCGUCUGUA